GAAUGACUCUCGGCAACGGAUAUCUCGGCUCUUGCAUCGAUGAAGAACGUAGCGAAAUGCGAUACUUGGUGUGAAUUGCAGAAUCCCGUGAACCAUCGAGUCUUUGAACGCAAGUUGCGCCCGAUGCCACUAGGUUGAGGGCACGUCUGCC
rnacentral:rRNA from 1 species